rnacentral:tRNA from 1 species
GCCCUGGUAGCAUAGUGGUUAAAGCGUUUGGCUGUUAACCAAAAGGUCGGAGGUUUGAACUCAGCUCUGAGGAA